AUACGUUGGGUGCGAGCGUUGUCCGGAAUUACUGGGCGUAAAGAGCUCGUAGGUGGUUUGUCGCGUCGUCUGUGAAAUUCCGGGGCUUAACUCCGGGCGUGCAGGCGAUACGGGCAUAACUUGAGUACUGUAGGGGAGACUGGAAUUCCUGGUGUAGCGGUGAAAUGCGCAGAUAUCAGGAGGAACACCGGUGGCGAAGGCGGGUCGCUGGGCAGUAACUGACGCUGAGGAGCGAAAGCAUGGGUAGCGAACAGGAUUAGAUACCCUGGUAGUCCAUGCCGUAAACGGUGGGCGCUAGGUGUAGGGGUCUUCCACGACUUCUGUGCCGUAGCUAACGCAUUAAGCGCCCCGCCUGGGGAGUACGGCCGCAAGGCUAAAACUCAAAUGAAUUGACGGGG
rnacentral:rRNA from 1 species